CUCGUGGCUAUGCAUAGUCCCAACGCGCCGCUCCGUCUGCGGCUCGACGCCUCGCCGGGCAGGUUUGUCUCCGGGCCAGUCAAGAAGGAGAUGACCGCCGAGUCGCGCCGGAGCGCAUCCGCCGCCGCCGUCGGCGGCCGACCUGACAGGGCUUCAGGCGCGGCACAAUCGAACUUCACAAGUAUGGAGGGGGCCUUAUGGACAUAGACGGCAGGGAUAUCGCAGCGCUCCGCCAUUGGCAGCCAGAGGUCUGGACAGCUGCAAAUGCCCAUUCAUAAGUGGAAGGGCUCUGACAAGAUCGGCGGGAUCUAUGGUGAUUGGAUAGACGACAAUGAGUAGGAAGGGGCUAUGGUAGGCUGAAGGGAGACUGUUAGUAUCUGUACGACUAUGCUUCAGCUGGUGAAAGUUCAGCAGGCUUAGAAGAUCUAGUUAGCAUUGCAAAACCUUGUCUCGACAAAAUGCAGGGUGUUUGUCCUAUGUUAUGUUCCUGCAUGUCCUGCUGUUGUAAAUGUGACUCAAUUUGGGCUUCCUUGGUAGCUGAACAAGAAACUCAGUUUGGGUUUCAACAAAGAUGUAAAUGUGACUUCUAUAUGAAAUAUAUUUAGAUGUUUUGCAA